rnacentral:rRNA from 1 species
UACGAAGGGGGCUAGCGUUGCUCGGAAUCACUGGGCGUAAAGCGCACGUAGGCGGGUCUUUAAGUCAGGGGUGAAAUCCUGGAGCUCAACUCCGGAACUGCCUUUGAUACUGAGGAUCUCGAGUCCGGGAGAGGUGAGUGGAACUCCGAGUGUAGAGGUGAAAUUCGUAGAUAUUCGGAAGAACACCAGUGGCGAAGGCGGCUCACUGGCCCGGUACUGACGCUGAGGUGCGAAAGCGUGGGGAGCAAACAGG